GAGUUUGAUCCUGGCUCAGAUUGAACGCUGGCGGCAGGCCUAACACAUGCAAGUCGAGCGGUAGAGAGAAGCUUGCUUCUCUUGAGAGCGGCGGACGGGUGAGUAAUGCUUAGGAAUCUGCCUGGUAGUGGGGGAUAACGCUCGGAAACGGACGCUAAUACCGCAUACGUCCUACGGGAGAAAGCAGGGGACCUUCGGGCCUUGCGCUAUCAGAUGAGCCUAGGUCGGAUUAGCUAGUUGGUGAGGUAAUGGCUCACCAAGGCGACGAUCCGUAACUGGUCUGAGAGGAUGAUCAGUCACACUGGAACUGAGACACGGUCCAGACUCCUACGGGAGGCAGCAGUGGGGAAUAUUGGACAAUGGGCGAAAGCCUGAUCCAGCCAUGCCGCGUGUGUGAAGAAGGUCUUCGGAUUGUAAAGCACUUUAAGUUGGGAGGAAGGGCAGUAAAUUAAUACUUUAGCUGUUUUGACGUUACCGACAGAAUAAGCACCGGCUAACUCUGUGCCAGCACG
rnacentral:rRNA from 1 species